GCAAUUAAGCGAUUGUCUAGACAUUUCAAAUCCUAUCUAGUGCAUACGCAUGGAUAAGAGCCUGAAAUAAUUUAUGAUAAAUUGACACAAUUUAUUGAAUUUUGUGUCAUGGAUUAUGGAUAGGUGGUGAGUCAAUUGUUUCGGGUAAGAGACUGCACCCGAUGGUGAAAGAUAGGAGUAUUUCUACUCCUAAUACUGUGAGUAAACUUAUUAUCGUCUUAAUUAUCUAGAGUAGUUUUAUACAACCGUGUGAUUUUAUGGAAAAUGGGUUUAAAUGGUAAAUUGCUAUGUUUUAGGAGAAAUUGUGAUUUUAUAAAUUUUCUGAAAAAUCGAAUACUCGUUUUGAAAAUAGAGUAAUUGGAGACUGCCUGCUUGUGUUGUAAAUUUAUCGUUUUAAAUUGAAUGGCUUAUGACAAUAUAUGAGCAUGAAUGGCUAAACUGAUUUUGGUGUCAAAAUUAUUUGUAUUGUGUAUUCAGCCUUGAGAGGCUAGAUUGCGAUAAUUGCCAUGCCAUGCUAGAAUGAAUUUAUUGAAUUGGUGGAGUAUAUAUUAAUUAUUUACUGCAGAGGGGGUUCCGUGGACCAGCCUAUUAGAGGGGCACGGUAAACUCCAUUAUAUUAUUACCUCGAACGGAGAGGCGCGUAGGGUAUCUCCUGGGGUAAAGCUUAGGGUUCACUUCACGCCAAACCACCACGUGAAGGGGAACUCAGCCAACGCCAAAGAACGACUGUAUUUUUCUCAAACUAAAAAUAUAUUUUAAGUGUAUACAAAAUUUUAACAGCCUUGGCGGACUCGGUUUGAUGCCCUGCGCAAGGUAUCACCGAGUAUGAGUUUUGGCACGAGCCAAAGUUUUAAGAAAUUCAUAAGCCAAGUUGAUUACUUGAUUUAUAUGAAUUGAUUUUAUUUGGUUGAAAUGAACUGAAAGGUAAUGAAAUUACGGUAUGAUGACUUAUUUUAAUUAUCUCCAUUUACUCGGCUUUAGAUACUUUAGAUGGUAUCUGUUUACUCACUAGGAUUAUAAAAUCUCACCCCUUCUUCCUAUACAUUUUUCAAGCUCAGGACAGUUUGUAGAUAGUCGAGUAAGACGAGAACUAAGCUCGGAACUGCAUUAUAGAAAGUAAGAGUUCACAGUCUUACAUCCUCUUAGUCAAUUGGAGCCCACGUGUCAUUGCAGAUCAAAACUUAUAUUUUGGUUAUCUGUAUUUCUAUUCAUACAAUUUUUACUUUACUUUCAUGUGCGAAAAAUUAUUUACGAAUAUUUCUAUAAAAAUUUAUUUUAUGAGAAAAUAGAAUAUUUUAUUUAUUAUUUUGAAUAGUACUAGUUGUCAACAAUUUGCUUUCAAAUGAACGUUUUAGAUACUUAAUUGUUUUUAAAUUAUUAAAUAUAUAUUUUUUGCUUACCUACUACAUUUUUAGCAAGUUUUGAGAUUUUUUACGAAAAAUUACGAAAAUACCCUUGUGAGCUAGAAAAUAAUAUUUUAUUGUUCUUAUUUAAAAAUGACUUAUGAUUUUUUUGAAAUGCGAGAUUUAAUAACUGUUGCUCACCGGGGAGAUGCGAAAGUUGAUGCUAAGCCUUGCGAGGUUUCAAUCGACAUUCGGGGUGAAGAAUGUCUGUCGAGGCCUCGCGGCGGUUGUCACGGGCCCGAUG
rnacentral:lncRNA from 1 species